CCUACGGGUGGCAGCAGUGAGGAAUAUUGGUCAAUGGGCGAGAGCCUGAACCAGCCAAGUCGCGUGAGGGAGUACUGCCCUAUGGGUUGUAAACCUCUUUUGUCGGGGAGCAAAAGCCGGACGGGUCCGGCUGUGAGAGUACCCGAAGAAAAAGCAGCGGCAAACUCCGUGCCAGCAGCCGCGGUAAUACGUAGGAUGCGAGCGUUAUCCGGAUUUAUUGGGUUAAAAGGGUGCGCAGGCGGAUUGUUAAGUCAGCGGUAAAAUCGUGGGGCUCAACCCCAUCCAGCCGUUGAAACUGGGGAUCUAGAGUGUGCGAGAGGUAUGCGGAAUGCGUGGUGUAGCGGUGAAAUGCAUAGAUAUCACGCAGAACCCCGAUUGCGAAGGCAGCAUACCGGUGCACAACUGACGCUCAGGCACGAAAGCGUGGGUAUCGAACAGGAUUAGAUACCCGAGUAGUC
rnacentral:rRNA from 1 species